AUCCUUUUGUAGUUCAUAAGCAUGAUGAUUGGGUUCUCCCGCUCCUGUGUGAGAUGUGCCUCCCUCUAACCCUAUUACAAUGUCAGCACAUUAUCUGUCUGAUG